CCAAUAGCGUAUAUUAAAGUUGUUGCAGUUAAAAAGCUCGUAGUUGAAUUUCAGGCCUGGCUGGGCGGUCCGCCCUUCGGGUGAGUACUGCCUGUGGUCGGGUCCUACCUUCUGGCGAAGCGUCAUGGCCUUAACCGGCCGUGGCGGGGAACCAGGACUUUUCCUGUGAAAAAAUUAGAGUGUUCAACGCAGGCAGUCGCUUGGAUACAUUAGCAUGGAAUAAUGGAAUAGGACAGUGGUUCUAUUUGUUGGUUUCUAGGACCGUUGUAAUGAUUAAUAGGGAUAGUUGGGGGCAUUAGUAUUCAAUUGUCAGAGGUGAAAUUCUUGGAUUUAUUGAAGACUAACUACUGCGAAAGCAUUUGCCAAGGAUGUUUUCAUUAAUCAAGAACGAAAGUUAGGGGAUCGAAGACGAUCAGAUACCGUCGUAGUCCUAACCAUAAACUAUGCCGACUAGGAAUCGGGCGAUGUUGACAAAAUGACGCGCUCGGCACCUCAUGG
rnacentral:rRNA from 1 species